UGCCCCUUCGUCUAAUGGUAAGACCACGGACUCUGACUCCGUUAAUCAAGGUUCGAAUCCUUGGGGGGCAUCCA
rnacentral:tRNA from 8 species